GGGGGCAGGGCGGCCUGGAUUUGAGGGCCUAUGGAGGAGGCGUGGGGGCUGGGAGUUAAGGGGACAGGGCCAACCUAGCAAAGCAACAUUUGAACUGGGGUCGAGGAACCUGGCCUGCGUGCUCACUGGAAAAAAAUCAGCCAAACAGAAAGGCGUAAAGAAGGAAGAGAAAAAUGACAUAUAAUUCCAUCCUCCCCUGACCUCUCCACUGCCCUGAUGAGGCAGUUGCCAUUAAAGCCGUUCUUCUGUCCGUGCUGGGAGAAGGGGAGCGUGAGAGAGAGGGUCCGCUCCGGAAGGUUAGGGAAGGCUGCGUGAGGAAGCGGCCUCAGAGCUGCGCGCCGGGGAAGGAUUCUCCUGGAUUGAGGGAGACCAAGCUUUGGAGCAGGAAGACGAGUGAGUCGGCUGCUGUCGAGUCUUAAACUUUCCUAUCAACGUUUCCUAUUUUUAAAGAUAGAGGAAAUGGACUCCUGUCUCUGCAGAGUCUAGGAAUUUCUUUGAAGUCUUAUGUUGGGUUUUACAUUUAUUUUUGUUAUUAAUGGGUUUUUUUGGCUGGAGAUAAUACAUGAAAUAGUUAAAACAAAACAAAAACACCCCAGGGAUAUACUGUGGAAAAUAAGUUUCUUGCCAUCCUAAACCCCGUAUAUCCAGUUCUUCUCAGAAGCUAUAACAGUUACCGAUUUCAUUAAUAUUCUUCCAGAGUUAUUCUAUACAUAAAUAAGCAUGUGUGUAUAUUUAUUCCAUCAUUUAAAAAUGUAAUACAUAUAUCAAAUCAUUACAUUGUACACUUUAAAUAGCUUACAAUUUUAUUUGUCAAUUAUACCUCAAUAAAGCUGAAAAAAAUAAAAUUAAAAUGUAAA
rnacentral:lncRNA from 1 species